UUUCGUGGCGGAGUAGUAAGUGAUCUUUUAUUCUAAAAAAUAUCAAUGUGAGGAAGUAUUAUGGGACUUUUUUGAUGCGAAAUAUACUAGUUUGUUCAUUCUUCACGUGAAUUCACUUUUUUGGAGUCUAACUAAUUUAAGAUUUACACUAAAAAAUUCUUCAAUAACUCUGAAUAAAUUUGCAGGCGACUCUAAAAUACCGAUUGGUCAAAUAUAUUCACUUGAAUCUAUAACUUUGUGCAUUUUCUAUUUUUUCUAGGGAAAUUUAGCUAACUAGUCAAAAAACCCAACUUAUUUAGUGAUAUUAUCCAUACUUUAAUAAUAUUAGUAAAUAUGUCAAAAAUGUCAUUAUUUUAAAAAUAAAUAAGUAUUUUGAUAUUAGUGAUAUUUUCUCUCUUAUUAUUUACACCCUUUAUUCUCUCUCAUAUAUUACACAUUUUCCUAUAUUUAUGUAAUUGGAUAGAUAUUGAUGUCAUUUUAGUUUUUCUCUCUCUUUUCUUAAGAUUAUCAAUUUCUCUCUUACUUUCUUUCUAUUCAAAUCCUCAGAUUUUUCUUUCAUUUCUUAUGCGUCUUUUCAAUUUCUCUCUCUAACAUUCUUCCAAAUCAAUUCCACAGAUUUUCGAUUCAAUAUAUUAAGAUUUUCUAUUAUUCUCAUUUAAUUUCAUUGCAAGAUUUUGAUUUGAAGAUUAACAUUGAUUUGAGAGUUAUAUUUUUGAAAUUCCUUAUUUAUUUGGUAUAUGUUGAUAACUACUACUAUUAUAAUUUUUUAAUUUAAUGAUAAUUACUAGUAUAUAUUAAGGAACGUAGUUGUUAACAAAAAUGAAAUACAGGUAUAGAACAUUUGGAGAUCCUCCAUCACAAAGAUCAGCAGAAGAUCUUGCUUUUUCUGUGGCUCGUUUCUUUGCCAAAAAUGGGACUCUUACAAACUAGUACAUGUGGAACAAACUCUGGAAGAUCAAGUUCUUCUUUCGUGACUACUCGUUAUUAUGUAAUUUAAUUUUGUUGCAGUUUUAUUUAGUAAGUAAUUUUGUAUUUCAUUGUUUUAUUGUAUUUUGUAUCCACAGAUUUGAAAUUGUAUUUCAUAUACUUAAUUCAUUUUGUAUUCUUUUUUUUGUGUGAUAGUUUUGUCAACGUACCACAGUUAGUAUAUUUAUUUUUGUAUUUCAUAAUAUUAUUGUUUGUUGUAUUCAUAAAUUUGGAAGUAUAUAAUUUUGAUACUGUUUUAGUCCAUAUGUAUCUUUACAAUUAAUAGUUGUAUUCAUUCAAAAAUUAUGUUGCAUUGUUA